UCCUUUCUGCAGCUUGGGAAAUGUGAAGGAGAAAGAGGCAAAGAGAGUGGCUAUAGCAGGGAAGUCUUCCUAUCCCAUCUCUAUUUCACUCUCACUGUGGAGAGGGGGUGUAAAUUAAUUACUAGACCAAUGGAGGGCAGAAGGGGUUGGGUAAUCUGGAUGAACUGUGCUUCAGUAGAAUUUAAAGAGUUGUGAGAGUAGGAAUCUUGGUAAAUCCAAAUCAGAAAAUGCUUGUAAGUGAGGACCAUGAGGCAUUAUCAUCUUUAGUUAGUGUCUGGAUUAAAGAUAUGCUACCUGCAAUGCAUGUUUAAUGCAUGAUACUCUACACUUCUGUGCAAAUAGAGUACUCUUUGCAGAGAGAGAUGUGUAGGGAUUCUUAUGAAUAGAGCUGUUGCUGCAAAUUCUUUACACAGCUGAUGAUCUGGGAAAAGGUAUGUUUGUGUAUGGUAGGGAGGAAGUGCUUUCAUCCCAAAGAUGUUCCAAAUCAAGUGCUGACAUUGUUUAGACUCCGAAGAUAUAAAAGAUAGCAGGCUCAAGUGUCUGGAUGCAUGUUAGAUUAUCAUGUUGCAUGGACCCAGAUCUGUGACUGCUCUUCAGCUUUAGUUGUCCUCUGCACAUAACAGCAUUUUCUGUCAUUACAGUGCAGGGCUGAAUGGUUUUGUGUUGCUGCAUAAUUAGAUUUUGUUUCAAAAUGAGAAAUGAAAACGUUAAAUGUGGAAAAACUAUGAGUAAAAAUGUUAACCAAUAUUUUUAAAGUAAACCACAUAUCUUAACAUGUUUUUUAUUAGGCAAUUUCUGAGGUGAAUUUCUGGAAGCAGUAGAAGGCCUGCUGCCAAAGGACACUUCAGCCUCUUUGGCAUGAACAUAGUCGGACUAGCAGCUCCAGUUUGGGGCAUUCUUUUGCCUUUGAUAGACCCAGGAUAGCCCAAGGGUGUUGGAUGGAAACAAACCUGACUCUUAUUUCGAACAGUUUAAGAUUCCCAUGAUUAUUUUUUUUUCCUACCACAAAUCAUCUAAACUUGAACAGCCACACUGUUUAGAGAGGUCAUAACUUGUACUAGGCCUAAAUUUUGUCUUAUUUUGGUUUAUUUUACCUUUUCUGGUAUAGUCUCUUUUUUAGGAUUAAUUCAUUUUGUUGCCUUAACAAAAGUAGGUGUUUCCUGAAGGGUAGCAGGUCCUGGGAAUGAUAAUACAAGCUAUGGUUAGUAUUGGGAGCAGUGAUCAGAGGAAGAAGUUAAUGUUGCAGGCACAUAAAAUGUUUGAGGUUGAACUCAAGUAGAUGUUUAUAGUUGCAUAAACACAAAUUACAGAUUAAAAAAAACCUGUCCCACAAAUAUUCACAAAUCAUAAGCAGCUGUAACAUCAGCAUGCAAUUGUUUUUUGUUUAUUAAAUGUUUGUCUUGGACACCUAGAGCAUGGCUAGUCCCUAUAUUCAUAUUAGUUAGCCUUUUUGCAAAAAAAAAAAAAAAAAAAGAUUCUGGUGAUUUGGAAAACUCAAGUGCAACCUCUUCCAAUGCCCAGUGGCUUUGAGCCCACACCUUGGCCUUCCACCUUUGCAGAGUAGGAGCCAAGUGUUGAUAGACGUAGACAUUGCCUCCUCCAGGGUUAGCCUAGCCUUAAGUAAAGGUUAGGAAUCUUGUUAAAGUGAACACCUAGAUUAUCACAGUAGUCAGUAGAGGCAUCUUCAGGGGCAAUUCAGUUCACCUAGUUUACACAUCACUUGCGGGAUAGGUUGAAUUACCUGCUGGGGUUAUGUAUCUCCACAUAUGGGAAGGACUAGUUGAUGAGAAUGGAACACCAGCUUUUACACAGCUGAAGUGAAUUGAGGUGGUUCCAUCUCCUCUUCACUGGUUAUGACAGCCCAAGACUUGGAAUUAAUAGAAGGGUAAGAUUAAAUUCAGCUCAGGCUUUAUAAAAAAAGACUUAAGAGUCGUUGUCUUUGUGCUCUGUGUCCUGUUAGUGCCCUCUUGGCUUCAGUGUUUAUGGUGUGCUGGAAGAACCCUGUUCAGUGGCAGUAUUAUCUUUGUCUCACAUGUAUCCAAAUACAAGUUGUUGCUUUCCUAGCCAGUGUGCUGUUGGCACAUUACUCAGAAAAUUUCUGGACAGGUAGGUUGCCAUAUUGCAGGACUGCUGAUCUCGGUUCAUUAGAGCAGUAUGAGAUACUUCCUGUAUUUCUGUGCCUUUUUUAUAUGGCAACAGGUGAGAACGAUUUGACUAUGCUGAGAAAAUGCCAUUACCAGUUCAUUUAAAAGGCCACAUUGUACUUUUUAACAGUAUACCUUUCUAAACAAUGUUCAAGCAAGAUAGGGAUAUAUUUAGAAGAUGGAUGUUCCAGCUGUUGGCUACCCAGAAGUGACAUAACACUAUAAUUCUAAAUAGGAUAAGGCUUUAACGGGUAUCCUAGAGGAAAAAAAAAAAAAGCUGUUUAUUAGUAGAAAUGUACUAAACUGUCUGCAUUUGACAAAGUGCUAAUGAAGGACGUUACUUCUAGAGAAACAAAUGAAAACGUCAAUUAAAAAAAAGUAAUGGCUCUCUGAGUUGUGGGUUGGUUUUUUGUUUGUUUUUUUCUUAAGAGAAGUGUUGGGUGUGUUUGUCAUAUUGCUUGAAAAGCUUUUGGUUUGUCUUUGUUGCCUUAGUUCUGUGGUUUGUUUUGUUUUGGUUGUUUGUUGUUUUCCCCUCUUCUAUAGCUGCUGCAUGGGAGUUGGAUUUCAUUUAGGCUGGAGGAUUAAUUUAAUAUUCUGGACUAAUGCUUUUUCUCUAUUUUAUGUUUUAUUUUUCCAAUAUUUUACAGAGCACCUUCCAGUGAAAAUGUGUCCAAGAGCACAGUGCCUGCAUUUAUCAACUUUGAGUUGUCUAAUCUUCAGAUAACUGAGUAACAAUUUCUGUUGGGGAGAAUGGGAUUAGAAUGGGUGCAAACUACUCAUGAGACCUUGCUCUCUAAUAAGAGGAAAUAAUUUUGAUUGCUAAAACAGAUAAUCUAAGAGACUUUUCCCAAAAGACCCUACAAAUCUUUGCUUAAGACCUCCUUUUCGUAAGUUUGCUGUGAAGCUGACAGCAUUCAUUGUCCUGCCAGUGGAACAAACAUAAAUGUGGUGAAUGUGGAAGCUGCCACACAACUGCUCACCUUCCAGGUGAAUGGAGCUGUAGCCACAGAUUUCGACCUUGGGCCUUACAUGUGUGGCCAUAAAAAGGUUUCUUGUAUUAAGUCUCUUUUUAGUAGAUGUCUCAUAGUUGCUGGAGAAAUUUGCCCCUCUGCUGCUGUUUUUCUGGUAGUGUUUCAUGGCAACUGAGGCUGGCACGCUGGCAGCCUAAAUCUCCUGGCUUUGCACUUCAAUACCUGAUAGUGACAUUUCAUAUCUCAGCAUAGAGUAGAAAGAGAAAGAAGAUCCUAUCAACUGUAGAGCAUUAGAGAAGCAGAAAUUCCCUCUUUACAAUUUUCUAAUGCAAACCAGCAUUUCUACAUGGUAACUGUUCAUCAUGAAGUAAUAGGUAAUCUUAGCGUUUGCUCGACAGGCAAGCUUUCUGAUAAGUAAUGUAUGUGUAAAUGUUUCCUUUACUUUAAAGUGUAUUGCUGUGUUCAAAUAGUAGUUAGAAGGCUUAGUGAGAGCAUUAAGGAAAGAAGCUUAUUCAUAGCAUUAACAUUAGCUGAGACGUUGACAUGUUAGGCUGCAACGGCUUGUACAAUGCCAUACACAGACAGAGGAACUGUGCACUUCCAUGCAGUGAACUGUUUAGUUUUUAAUGCUCUGUAUAUUUUCUUAUGUUAGAUGUAUCUCUAAUUAUGUGUUCUCCUAACAGAAUAAAACCAGCUACUUGAGGAUAAUGUCUGGAAAAAACAGACACUAGAAAGCAAGUUGCUGUGCUGAGUAAUGUCCAGCAACACAGUAUGGUUAAAAAUCCUUCCCAUGAUUGUAAUAUAUAAAUGAAGAUGUGCUUUCAUCUGAGUUAUAUAUGAUUGCAUCCACUUCAUGUGAAUGAGAAAUUGGGUGGAAGUGAAUAAAAAAUGGUGCUAAAGCUGUGCUAUCUCUAUUUCUAGAUAACCUGUGGCAUGGAUUAUAAGGUGUUCAACUAAAUACUUAAAAAAAUAAACAGAAUAAUGAGCAAGCCUAUGAAGAUACACAGAGAUGGACACUGUGAUGACACCACCGAACUUAAUUUGUUCUUUUUCAUGUAUUCCAGCUAUCUACCAUUCCAUGCUUAACACAAAAGAGUUAAGCAGCAGCUAGAGGAGGGAUCAAGGAUUGAACAUUUUGGAACCUAACAUCUGGUCUGCUUGAUUACUGCAUUAGCUACAUGUGUAAAAUACCCUUACCAGCUUCUAACUGUAUGGUUACACAAUGGAUUUAGCAAGGAAAGAGCCUACUCAACUUUUGGUUAAGCCUCUACAUACACAUUAGGAGAAUAAGUCUGAAAUAUCCCUCUAAGAAACAUAAUAACAAUGGUAAGUGUUACAAUGAUAACAUUCUGCAUGAUUUCUUUACCUGUUGGUUAAUUAUAUUCCCAGUACUGAGUGUUGCCAAAUUCUGGAUGACAGAAAACUCUAGAACAGAACUGCUUUGUUUCUACAUUAAUGCUUAUUUACUGGGAUACACCUGUAUGGAGAUGUCCUUCUGCUAACAAGAUCUCCAGUGAACUAGGAUGUCUUUCUAGUCAACAGUAAGUAAGCAGUCAUUUAGCUGCCCAACUUUCUAACAGCUGUAUUUCCCACUAUAUAAACACUAGCACAAAAAUUUGAAAAUAUAUUAUGAGGUAUUCUCAGCGCGUCUCCUUAUGGGAAAAAGCCCACACUUGUAAAUCUUGAAUCUGCCAAUAUGUCAGUCCCCUGGGGAGCCCUCAGAGAGCUUUGAGUUUUGGCCCCACUGACUGGAAACAGUAGGAGAUUCAGAGCUUGGAAAUGAUGCUGGUUUUGGAUGAGUCUAGACUUAAUGAUAUGGUAAAUGAGGAACAAUAUCAUAAACAGUUUGCACUAUUCAGUAAUCCAAAUAACAUACUCUCUUACAGAUAAAGAGAAAAUGACGCUCCAAUGCAGCAAUGGCAGGCUGGCAGGAAAUUUUGAGGGACUAGCACACCCCAGGAACAUGAAGGCAAUUAACAGGAAACAAUGGAACAUCAUGGAGGAGGUACCUGUGUACCGUGUCUGUCUCCAUGGCAUUCAAAUGUCAUCAGACGAAGCUAAGGGAUGUGGUACAAUAUAUUUGUUUAGCAUAUGUUCCACCUGCCCUUCAUCCCAGCAAUGGCCCCUAUUAGUAAUGGAUAUGCAAAGGAUUGAUCUUAGCAGAGCAAGAUUCUUUUUAACACUGAAUAAAUCUGGAGCACAUUACACUCUUGGUUUAAAAUUGGCUCAGUGUGGGAGAAAACAACCUCCAAGGUAAUUCUGAAUUCUGUUUCCAGUUUUAUGUAAGACAAAUCCUGUAUUUUUCUCCUAUGGCAAUACCUGAUCUUCCACUCUUUAGGCAGGAAAAACUCAAGAUGUCUUACAUCUAUCAGUACUUGCAAAAUGGAAUUCUUUCUGUUUAUUUUAAAGAGUUUUUACUUCUGGAUUUUUAAUUUUCACUCAGAAUUUUAAAUUUGGUUUGGUACUUUUUAUAGGUGAUUAGAUUCAGUUGAUAAUUUUGACCUACAGGGAACAAUGAGGCUUACAAGCAGUAUCUAGAAUUCCUUGAAAACAGUACUAUUUAAGUUAAAUAUAUUUUGUCUGACAGCAUAGCCAUUAACAAUUUGAAACAAAAAUUAUAAAACAGGAGAAUGUGUGA